rnacentral:lncRNA from 1 species
UCAGAUGUGCAAACUCUAUUUUCUUUAGAUGUUAGAGAUGCUCUAGGAGGUACUCUACAUUGAGGGCCAUCAAGAAUUAUUCCCAAGUGAGUGGAACGAGCAGGGUGGCCUACUUGAGUUGCCACCAGCGGUCUAUCUCUCCCACCUGCAUGUAGUUGGCAAGUAUGACUCUUUGUUCGGGAAUCACCCUAAAAGUCGUGAAGACAUUCUCUAUCUUAGCUAACCAGUACUCAGCCUCUUCAAAGGAGGAUCCCCCUACAAAAGUAAAUGUGUUUAGUUUUUUAUACCUCUCAAUGUAGUAUGGGUCCAUCAUGGGAGAAACUGGGUCUCCUGGAAGAGACACU